rnacentral:lncRNA from 1 species
ACUUUCAGGUUCAUCGGCUUAGGUGUCGUGCCUGCUCGGAAAGGAUGUGAUGGAGAUGGUGCACACGAACUGAUAUUUCUUAUAAGAAAGAGAAAUCAACAAGGUAUUUUUCUUUGAUGCCUAAUUUAUAUGUACCGGUUAUGUUUUCUUCAGAUAUAUAGCUAUAUCCAUGUAUAAAUAACUAUUUUUCACGAAGAUAUAUUUAUAAUAAUAUUGCCAAAGUACCUCUUAUUAUUUGAUUACCAGUAACAGUUUGAGCUGCUCAUAUUGUUUCCACCCAUGUGAAAAAUAACAGGUGCUUGGAAUUGGAAUGUUUUCAUUCUUUGAGUUUUGGUCAUUUUAAAGGUAUGCAUGCCACUACUCAUUUUUUUGCCUCUGUAGCCAAGUGUUUAAAUAGUGUAUGGACUAAAUCUGGAAUUAUAUGAGCUAAAUUAUAGUAUCAGAGUAUGCUACUGGUCUUCAGUCUUCCGCUUCAUGGUUUAUCAUAAAAUAAUAUAAUCAUUUCCUCCAUGUGAGAGGUAGCAUAGCAAUAUAUUUAGUGUUAUCCAGCAAGUUUUUUGAGGCAUGUGUGUUCCUCAAAGAAAAAGGUGUGUCAGUCUCGGUGAUAGCCUUUGAGUUUUUGAACAAUUGCCACUGCUAAGGUGAUUGGAAAUUGCUUUGUACACAUUCUACUAGGCUCAUUUUCUGUUAAUCCCUACAAUUUCAGGAAUGAAGGGAAGGGAAGACGUGAGGAGAAAGCUCUACCUGCACAGGACACAAGAUCCGUGCCGGGAAUUCGGUUGUGCUUGUAUGUUACUGUAGAGCGACCAUUUCAGGGUGGAUGUUGAUGGUCUCAGAUUGAUUCGAUGCUGCAGCGAGGUAAAGUUGCUAUUUACUUCUCAAGUUCAGACUUGCAUAUCAAACAAACAUAACUUGGCAGCAAGGUUAACAUCUAGGAAAAAAUGUGUGUGUGUGUGUGCGCGUGCGCGUGCAUCUUGCAUGCGUCAGUGUCGAUACAUUCACAUGUUGAUAAGUAUACGAGCAUGUAGGCAAAUGAUGUCAAGACAAUUCAAGACACACAAUAUAUACUUUGGUAGAGAAAACCUUGUAUAUGUUUCAAUACAUAAUCUAAUGUGACUUUCAUGCAUUUCAAUAUCUACAAGAGGGUUAACACAAGAACCAUACAGUACCAUCUUGGAUCUUCCUGCCAUCAGAUCAAUGUUUUAAUACAUCAUUAGUGCAAACCCAUACUAGCUGAAAACACAAACAUGGAAUUAGUUUCUAGGGGACGAUGCUUUGUUUGGAUACCAAAAAGAAAAAUAGUACACAUAGAGAGACUUUCUUCGUUGCAGAGUAACAACAUAUAAGGGUGCAUCUUUUGACCAUUUAAUGAAUCAGAGUUUUAAGUAAGACUAACUCAUAACUGGAGCGUGAGAUACUAAUUGCUUUCUUUGUAGUGAAGAUGGCCUCUUUUGGGGUGAGGCACAACUAUAGUUGCACAGCUAAAGUUCCUAUGUUCAAAGGUUAUAACUCCUUGUCCUUUGUAGUUUGGAUUUUGGAAUAAUUAUCCUGGAUAGAUGCUAGAAUGGGAGAAAUACCCAACAAAACACAAAUUUAGCAAUGGACAUGCAUGUCUUUUAAUCACUUCGGCUUGCUUCUAUUGUUUGUGUUUUCAUCUGGUAUGGGCUUUGAAGCAUGCCGUCGUCAGAAAGAAUCCAUCAUUUUGUCAAAAUAUUGGAUGUAUAACUAAUUCCAUGUUUGUGUUUUCAGCUGGUAUGGGCUUGCACUAAUGAUGUAUUAAAACAUUGAUCUGAUGGCAGGAAGAUCCAAGAUGGUACUGUAUGGUUCUUGUGUUAACCCUCUUGUAGAUAUUGAAAUGCAUGAAAGUCACAUUAGAUUAUGUAUUGAAACAUAUACAAGGUUUUCUCUACCAAAGUAUAUAUUGUGUUUCUAUUGUUUGCCUGAGUAAUCUGAAUUCACCUUAUAUUGUUGAAGUUAUUGGUCUAUCAAUUAUUUAUCUGUAUUUCAUUUUGCCAAAAAAGCAAACAAACAGAAGAGCCAAACAUUGCAUGCUUCGACAGACGAAACCUGCCCACGGAGGUGGUGGCGCCGGUGGUAGGCGGCAAUGAGGCAACAACGCUUCAUGAGGCGGUCAAGUCUGUGGUCAUGAGCCGAUGCAUCCACCAACACCGCAAUCGAGUCAACUUCAGGACUCCAUUAGUGAUAGUUGGCUGUGUUAAAGGAAAAAAUUAUUAGGAUAAUAGAAACUGUUGGGAUAAUUUCUUUCUAUAGUGGAUGAAGUUAUUUCAAGUAACAUAUCUUGGUUUCUCCCUGUAGUCGUGUACUUAAGAAAAGCUCCAACACAAUGAAAUGGCAGCAAAGAAGCCCGUAUUAUGUUAGCACAAAAUACAUUUGGUAUUUGGCCUUCUUUUUUUUAUGUUAGCAUGUAAUUAGUCAUGUACUCCUAUACUAAAGCUAAAUCAAGUAGAUAGUCUAAAGCUUGGUCAGUUAAAAUAAUGAUUGAGUCUUUCUUAUUAUCUUUUGCCAUUUUGUGUACUUUUGGUUUAUCUUCAAACUAUUUUCUUCCAGCCCUUGGUUUCUCCCAUAACAACCUAAAGAAGUUGAUCCAAUGACAACAUAAAUAAGUUGCUUGGCAUGGUAGUUUCUCCAUCCCAUUAUUUGAGGAUUAGAGCUUGAAAUAAUUCUCUAGCAAAGGUAAUAUAGCUAGGAAGUCAGAAUUUCACAAAG